rnacentral:rRNA from 1 species
GAUUGAUCCCGUCGGACCCCACUGCUAUCGAGAUGGGACUAAGGUAUGCUAGUCGAACGACCAGAACUAUGUCUGGAAGUGGCACACUGCUCAGUAACACGUAGCUAACCUACCCUUAGGACGUGGAUACCCCCGAGAAAUCGGGGUUAAUCCGCGAUAGAUGUAAUGUCCUGGAAUGGUAUUACGUCUAAAGGUAUUUCAUACAUGUUUGAAAUAUGCCUAAGGAUGGGGCUGCGGCCGAUCAGGCUGUUGGUGAGGUAAUGGCUCACCAAACCUUUGGCCGUACGGGCCAUGAGAGUGGUAGCCCGGAGAUGGACACUGAGACAAGGGUCCAGGCCCUAAGGGGCGCAGCAACCGCGAAACCUCCACAAUGCACUCACGUGCGAUGGGGCUAUCUCGAGUGCCACCUGAUGAAGGUGGCUUUUCCUUGGUCUUCAAAGCCUUGGGAAUAAGAGGGGGGCAAGACUGGUGUCAGCCGCCGCGGUAACACCAGCCCCUCGAGUGGUGGGGAUGAUUAUUUGGCCUAAAGCGUCCGUAGCCGGCCGAGCAAGUCUUCCGUUAAAUCCAGCGUCUCAAGCGUUGGACCGCGGGAGAUACUACACGGCUAGAGAGUGGGAGAGGUCAGCGGUAUUCUGGGGGUAGGGGCGAAAUCCUUUGAUCCCCGGAGGACCACCAGUGGCGAAGGCUGCUGACUAGAACACGUCUGACGGUCAGGGACGAAAGCUGGGGUAGCGAACCGGAUUAGAUACCCGGGUAGUCCCAGCCGUAAACGAUGCAUGCUAGGUGUUGGGUUGGCCACGAGCCACCCCAGUGCCGCAGGGAAGCCGUUAAGCAUGCCGCCUGGGAAGUACGAUCGCAAGAUUGAAACUUAAAGGAAUUGGCGGGGGAGCACCACCAGGCGUGAAGCCUGCGGUUUAAUUGGAGUCAACGCCGGGAACCUUACCGGGAGCGACAGCAGAAUGAAGGCCAGAUUGAAGAUUGCCAGACGAGCUGAGAGGAGGUGCAUGGCCGUCGCCAGUUCGUGCCGUGAGGUGUUCUCUUAAGUGAGAUAACGAACGAGACCCGUGCCACAUGUUGCCACCAGUAUCUAAAGGAUAGCUGAGCACUCUUGUGGGACCGCAGCCGAUAAGGCUGAGGAAGGUACGGGCAACGGCAGGUCAGUAUGCCCCGAAUCUCCCGGGCCACACGCGGGCUGCAAUGGUACAGACAGAGGGCUGCCACCCCGAAAGGGGGAGCCAAUCCCUAAACUGUACCUCAGUUGGGAUCGAGGGUUGCAACCCACCCUCGUGAACAUGGAAUGCCUAGUAACCGCCAGUCAUCAUCUGGCGGUGAAUACGUCCCUGCUCCUUGCACACACUGCCCGUCGAACCACCCGAAUGAGGUUUGGGUGAGGAAUGGUCGAAUGUUGGCCGUUUCGAACCUGGGCCUCGUAAGGAGGGUUAAGUCGUAACAAGGUG